GGAUAACCUGCCCUUGGGACCGGGAUAACCCCGGGAAACUGGGGAUAAUACCGGAUAACGCAUAUCUGCUGGAAUGCUUUAUGCGUAAAAUGGAUUUGUCUGCCCAAGGAUGGGUCUGCGGCCUAUCAGGUAGUAGUGGGUGUAAUGUACCUACUAGCCUACGACGGGUACGGGUUGUGAGAGCAAGAGCCCGGAGAUGGAUUCUGAGACAUGAAUCCAGGCCCUACGGGGCGCAGCAGGCGCGAAAACUUUACAAUGCGGGAAACCGUGAUAAGGGGACACCGAGUGCCAGCAUCAUAUGUUGGCUGUCCAGAUGUGUAAAAUACAUCUGUUAGCAAGGGCCGGGCAAGACCGGUGCCAGCCGCCGCGGUAACACCGGCGGCCCGAGUGGUGAUCGUGAUUAUUGGGUCUAAAGGGUCCGUAGCCGGUUUGGUCAGUCCUCCGGGAAAUCUGACGGCUCAACCGUUAGGCUUUCGGUGGAUACUGCCAGACUUGGAACCGGGAGAGGUAAGAGGUACUACAGGGGUAGGAGUGAAAUCUUGUAAUCCCUGUGAGACCACCUGUGGCGAAGGCGUCUUACCAGAACGGGUUCGACGGUGAGGGACGAAAGCUGGGGGCACGAACCGGAUUAGAUACCCGGGUAGUCCCAGCCGUAAACGAUGCUCGCUGGGUGUCAGGCAUGGCGCGACCGUGUCUGGUGCCGCAGGGAAGCCGUGAAGCGAGCCACCUGGGAAGUACGGCCGCAAGGCUGAAACU
rnacentral:rRNA from 1 species